rnacentral:rRNA from 1 species
AUUGAACGCUGGCGGCAUGCCUUACACAUGCAAGUCGAACGGCAGCACGGGAGCAAUCCUGGUGGCGAGUGGCGAACGGGUGAGUAAUAUAUCGGAACGUGCCCAGUCGUGGGGGAUAACGCAGCGAAAGCUGUGCUAAUACCGCAUACGAUCUAUGGAUGAAAGCGGGGGACCGCAAGGCCUCGCGCGAUUGGAGCGGCCGAUAUCAGAUUAGCUAGUUGGUGGGGUAAAGGCCCACCAAGGCGACGAUCUGUAGCUGGUCUGAGAGGACGACCAGCCACACUGGAACUGAGACACGGUCCAGACUCCUACGGGAGGCAGCAGUGGGGAAUUUUGGACAAUGGGCGCAAGCCUGAUCCAGCAAUGCCGCGUGCAGGAUGAAGGCCUUCGGGUUGUAAACUGCUUUUGUACGGAACGAAACGGUGAGCUUUAAUACAGUUUGCUAAUGACGGUACCGUAAGAAUAAGCACCGGCUAACUACGUGCCAGCCGCCGCCGUAA